rnacentral:snRNA from 1 species
GCAAGGAUGACAUGCAAAUUCGUAAAGUGUUCCAUA